rnacentral:lncRNA from 1 species
AAAGAAGCUUCUAUUUAUAGGCCUUGGAGGCGCUUAACUCUUUCUUAUUAUUAGAAAUAACUGUUGUCUUAGUUUCAUAACAUGUUUCAACCCCGGCUUUUCAUGAAUAUGGAACCCCAUCCACUAGAUUUUAGUGUGCUGAAUAAUUAUCUUCGUACUCCAAUCCGUACGAAAGGCCCCCUUUCUUUUGGCGGGUAUCGCCACGUGGCUUAAUCCCGGAUCACUCCUUAAGGAAUAGGACACAAUAAUAUAGCGCACAUCAGAGAAGAGAGUACCCCCUUUAUUAUAAGACAGGCCCCCCGCGUCCUUUCUUAAGAGAUGGAGCAAUCGUCACUCGACAGCUCAAAGCUGACCGGUACAACCCGCGUGCUUGCCUACUCGUCCCGGCCUAUUUGUACCCAGCUACAAUCUCUUCCCUUAUAAAAGAAAAAAGGGCCCCUCGGCCAAUCGUCACUCGACAGCUCGAA